rnacentral:rRNA from 1 species
UACGGGGGGGGCAAGCGUUGUUCGGAAUUACUGGGCGUAAAGGGCUCGUAGGCGGCCAACUAAGUCAUACGUGAAAUCCCUCGGCUUAACCGGGGAACUGCGUCUGAUACUGGAUGGCUUGAGUUCGGGAGAGGGAUGCGGAAUUCCAGGUGUAGCGGUGAAAUGCGUAGAUAUCUGGAGGAACACCGGUGGCGAAGGCGGCAUCCUGGACCGAUACUGACGCUGAGGAGCGGAAGCCAGGGGAGCGAAUGGG